AUGAGAGGGCCAAUAAGAUGCCCUGGACAGAAGGAGUGGUCAGGGGUGGCUCAGCCUCUGGUGUGGAUGAUGGCUUACAGUGUGACUGUGAGCUAAGAUGUAGCAUUCAAGUGGAGGAAUGUGCUGGUGAGAGAAAGACAAGUUUGGUUUGGGACAAAUGAGUGUGAGGGCCCCAGCCUCUUGGCUGGCCAGUGAACACUUCCAAGAACCUUCAUACUUAAUACCUCUAUCACUCCUCCACUCAACAGGUGAGGAAACAUCAGUCCAGUGAGAGUGGCAUGUGUGGGGAGGAGCCCAGGCUUGCUCUGACCUCUCUCUGGGGCCCCCCACUCCAGAAGGUUGGAACAGCAUUCUACAGCAUUCCAGGAUGUGGAGGGGGCAGCAGUGUUUGUGUGCAGAGUGGCGAGGCCGACCUCCGAUGAGCUUCCCGUAGGAAGGGUGCAGUGGGGGGUGCUCACCCUGCCCAGGGAUGCUAUCUGCUCCAGGACUUGUUUAUCAGCCCACGGGGUGAUCGGCAUGACAUCAAUGGAUAUGCCAGGCUGCAGGCUACAGUGCCGAGAAGGAGAAGACGGAGGCGGUGGUGAUGUCACCCAAGGAAUUAAGUAAGCAGGGGAGCUGAUAACAUCGUCCAGCCAGGCUCACUGUGGGCAGGGUGACUCACUGAAGACGGCCUGCGAUCGCCAGGUGAUUGUUGUUGUGCCCAGCCUGUGGGGCUGGGGAGGAGGAAGGGGGGCAGGCCACAGAGCUGUGACAAGUUCCUCACCGAGGCCCCUGCUCAGGGGAGAGACCUCAGUACACAGUGUCCUCCACCUCUGAGCCCGGGGCUGGCUCAGGAAACAGCCCCCCUCUGCCUGUGCGAUUAUCUUUGUCCACAGUGUUUGGUGUGUGUUUGUGGGGUGUGUCAGGUGAUUUUCCUGCCCGAAGCCUGCUGGGUGCUCCAGGUACUAGCGAUUGCUCACAGCAGAGCAGUAGCCCCCUCCCUGGUUGGACAACUGUCUGUGGAGACAACACCGGAUGGCAAACUGCUAACCGCAACCACGUGGCGUCCUUACAGAGGGAACAGCCUGUUCCUCCCGCUGAGGGCACCUGCAGACCUGCCCCAUUCAUGGCUCCCUUCUCCCUCAGUCCCUGCUGAGGGGAUGGUCCCUUCCCACCCUUAAGGGCACCAUGGACUGUUGUCCAAGUUGAGAACUGUCCAACUGCAGGGGGCACCAUUCACUUGGCAGUCUUCGUGCCAGAUGCUAUGGCUGUCCACAGUGGCCCUGCCCCUUCCCUUUUGUAAAUUACUUCUCAGUUCCCUCCUCCACCAGAAUUAUCACACCAAACUUUCCCCCAUGUAUGCUUGCUUCUUUAUCACCUGACACUCUCAUUCAUUCAUUCCACAAAAAAAUUGUGGCGUUUGUGCAAGGUACUAUUCUAGGCAAGGGAACAAGACAGACCCUCCUGGAGCUCAUGGAGUUCAUAUUCUAGCAUGGGGGAGAACCAAUAAAUAAAUAAUUGGAUACAUAAAACUGCAAGUGACAAUAAGUGCUACAAAGAAAACUAAAGCCAGCCCAGGAUAGAGGGUGAUAGUGCCCUACUUCAGCUAGGACUGCCAGAAAGGCUUCUCUGUGGGGAGGUGGCCUCUGAGGGGAGACCUGGAGGCAGCAAAGGAGGAAGCCUUCCCGGCAGAGCCCCUCCCAUUGGCACCCAAUGCCAAAAGAAGUUUCUAUAACCCGUCCUGGUUCUGCCAGGAGCCUGCGGCAUGGCCUGGGGCGCUCAAUUCCCAGUGCAGGGUGUCUAUUUCUUCCCCCAACAAACAAGAGGCCUAGUCGCAUAGUCUCUUCCAGCACAA
rnacentral:lncRNA from 1 species